ACACGACUACAUUAGAUACCCGCGUAGUCCCAGCCCUAAACGAUGCGCGUUAGGUGUAUCGGUGACCACGAGUCACCGAGGUGCCGAAGGGAAACCGUGAAACGUGCCGCCUGGGAAGUACGGUCGCAAGGCUGAAACUUAAAGGAAUUGGCGGGGGAGCACCGCAACGGGUGGAGCCUGCGGUUUAAUUGGACUCAACGCCGGGAAGCUCACCGGAUAAGACAGCGGAAUGAUUGCCGGGCUGAAGACCCUGCAUGACCAGCUG
rnacentral:rRNA from 1 species